rnacentral:rRNA from 1 species
UACGUAGGGUGCGAGCGUUUAAUCGGAAUUACUGGGCGUAAAGCGUGCGCAGGCGGUGAUGUAAGACAGGUGUGAAAUCCCCGGGCUUAACCUGGGAACUGCAUUUGUGACUGCAUCGCUGGAGUGCGGCAGAGGGGGAUGGAAUUCCGCGUGUAGCAGUGAAAUGCGUAGAUAUGCGGAGGAACACCGAUGGCGAAGGCAAUCCCCUGGGCCUGCACUGACGCUCAUGCACGAAAGCGUGGGGAGCAAAC